GAUGAAGAACGUAGCGAAAUGUGAUAAUUAAUGUGAAUUGCAGAAUUCCGUGAAUCAUCGAGUCUUUGAACGCACAUUGCGCCUCAUGGCAUUCCGUGAGGCAUGCCCAUCUCAGCGCUAGAAAAUAUUCUCAAAUUUUAGUUUUGUGCUAAAAUUUGGAUCAUGUCAAGGAAGCUAUUACUAUUAUUGUGAUCGCUCUUUGGAAAUUGAUAGGUCUUUGAGUUGCUACUCAUAGAACGUGAUGAAUCUUUCUUCGUUCUAUUGUAAUUCACUCUGGUAGUCCUAAAACUUGUAUGCCUGUGGCAUAUCUUGUAAUUUGACCUGAGAUUGGGUAGGGAUACCCGCUGAACUUAAGCAUAUCAAUAAGCGGAGGA
rnacentral:misc_RNA from 1 species